AAAUAAAUAAUUAAAAUAAAAUAGAAAAAGGGGCUGGCUUGUUGGGCUACUCGGUUUGGGUCGGGCCAGCUGGUCCGCGCUGGUGGCACAGGAAAAAGCCAUCAAGAAUCACGGGCUAGCGGCUUGGGCUGUUUUACUAGGCUGUCCGUAGGCUCAUCUAUGCGGGAUGCACACGUUUGGCUCGUGAGUUUGCACACACGUUUGGGCCUAGUGGGCUGCGUGCAUGUGCGCUUUUGGGCGCCUGUGUGCACAGUCCAUGUGCGCUCGAAAAUCGUGCGAGUUGGGCAGCAUGUUCGGCGCAUGCGUGGGCCUCCAGAUAUUUGUUUCAAGAAGGUUGUCUAUCUCCGAUUUUCUUGCAGAGUAUAAGAUUGCUCUUAUUGUCUCACCAUGGGACCAGGGAACACUGGUGGGUGUGUGGGCCAAGUAUCUUGUACGUGUAUUGUAAUGGAUGUGUAUCCUACAGGUACCCAAACCCAUACUACAUUUGGGCCUUCAUCUUGGGUUGGGAAUUUCGUGGCAAGUCGUUCCUUAGCAAUGAGAUCUGUUACCCUUUGAGUUUCUAACACCUUAUGGUGCCACUUCCUGCUAGGUCGGGAACUGUGCCUAAUGGAUUCGGCCUCUCUAGUUGAUACUUGGUCGGGAAUAGAGUUGCUUGGAGUAUCGCUGCUUUGUAAUUGCUUUCUCUCAUAUCCUAGAAGUUCAGCUACACUUGCUCACUUCUUGGAUCCCUUUGGUUUAGGUGUUUUGUCAGUGGGUAUCGGUUCAUCCCCCCUUCUUUGAGAGGAUUCGUCCUCAAAUCUACAAAGACUAUAAACGUUUCAUCUAAGGUCAAUGAGGACAGAGUAUUUACAAAACAUCCGGUCGGGUGCUCAGGCUAUUUUAGAAUGAAAAAGCAACUUUGGUCUAGAUCCGGAUUGGGGUCUUGCUUUACGUGUCUCUUAGCGAACUCCUCAUAUGAAUUUUUAAUUUUCAGCUGAUACUCAUAAAUGUCCUUCCAUGAUAAGGGAGUUAAGACAUGGGUGUGGUUACCCAUUCAGAUAGAGUACUGAUUCUUUUCGCCGACAUGACUAACAUCAUGGUCAUAUUGUCAGGGCCUUCCUAGUAACAAGUGUCCUGCUUGCAUGGGAACUACAUUGCACAAUAUUUCAUCCUUAUAGUCACCAAUGGAGAAUGGGACACAUAUUUACUGGGUGAUGUGGAUCUCUUUGCUAUCAUCUAACAAGUGCAACUUUUAGGGAGUAGGGUGCUAUCUACAUGUCAACCAUGCCCGAUCCACCAGCAAGGUAUUGAAAAAGUUAGCACAACUGCCUCCAUCAAGUAUCACACUAUAGACUUUUCCACUGACAAGGGACCUAGAAUGAAAAAUAGUCUCUCAUUGACUGUUGUCUUCGGACUUAACCUGUAUGUUUAGUGCUUGUUGAGGUACAAAUACAUCUUCCUAUACUGGUUGAGCUAUCAUCCAACCAGUGUAACUUGUAGGGAGUAGGUUGCUAUCUACACGUCAACCCUACCUGAUCCACCAAUAAGGUACUGGCAAAGUUAGCACAGCUGCCUCCGUCAACUAUCACACUACAGACGUUUUCGUUGACAAGGCACCUAGAAUGAAAAAUAGUCUCUCACUAACUGUUGCCUUCAAACUUAACUUGUAUGUUUAAUGCUUGUUGAGCUACAAAUACAUCUCCCUGUACUGGUUGAGCUAUACUCUCUAUAUCCACCAAUGGUAGAUCUUCCUGCUCAUCACUGCUUUCAUGGUCACUGACUAUAUCUCCGUCGUCUUGGAGAAUCAUGGCACGUUGAUUAGGGCAUUGGGAUGCAAUAUGCCCCACUCCUAAGCACUUGAAACACUUAACAGUGCUCUGGCGGGUGGCUGGUGCCAUAGGAUUAACUGUUGGAUUCCCAACGGGUUGUUUUCCGUUACUAUUAGCCAAUUUCUCAUUGUUAUCUGUCUAUCUUUGGUUUCCCUAAGGAGUGUUACUAACAUACCACUGAUUAAUUCAUCUACUCUUAAAUUUCCUUUAAAUCUUGGUGGUCUUGUGCACCAUUUCGUCCAAGUCAACAUAGUUUUGGAGUUCAAGGAUGUUGGCAAUAUCCUUGUUUGGGCCCUCCUAGAACUGAGCCAUGGUGGCUUUCGGAUGUUUAUCAACUUGGUCCCUAAUCAUAGUUAUCUCCAUUUCCUUAUAAAUACUAUUCCACGGACCUAGAACCCUUAGUCAAGCACUACAAUUUUAGGUUGAUUUCCCUAUCAAAAUGAGCGAGCACAAACCGUUUCCUCAUGAUGGAUCUCAAUUCUCGCCAUGUGUUAAUAGGCAAGUCUCUAUCUCGUUCCUGCAGAAGAACUAACUGAUCCCACCAUAAUGAGGCAUAAUUGGUAAACUCAAGGGUGGUUAACUUAAGCUUUUUCAGUGAAGGGAUUGGCAUAAAAAGAACAUAGUAAAU
rnacentral:lncRNA from 1 species